rnacentral:lncRNA from 1 species
UUCGGGGGCGUUUUCUUCCCGUGUCUUAUUUUUAGCACGUGUCACAUCGAAUGUUUAGAUACUAAUUAGGAGUAGUAAACGUAGACUAUUUACAAAACCAAUUACAUAAGUGGAAUCUAAACGGCGAGACGAAUCUAUUAAGCCUAAUUAAUCCAUCAUUAGCAAAUAUUUACUGUAGCAACACAUUGUCAAAUCAUGGACUAAUUAGGCUUGAUAGAUUCGUCUCGCCGUUUAGAUUCAUCUUAUGUAAUGGGUUUUGGAAAUAGUCUACGUUUAAUACUCCUAAUUAGUAUCUAAACAUUCGAUGUGACGGGUGCUAAAGUUUAGCAAGUGGAAGAAAACAGGCCCUU